rnacentral:rRNA from 1 species
AUUGAACGCUGGCGGAAUGCUUUACACAUGCAAGUCGAACGGCAGCACGGACUUCGGUCUGGUGGCGAGUGGCGAACGGGUGAGUAACAUAUCGGAACGUAUCCAAUAAUGGGGGAUAACUAAUCGAAAGGUUGGCUGAUACCGCAUACGCCCUACGGGGGAAAGCUAGGGACCUUCGGGCCUGGCGUUAAUGGAGCGGCCGAUAUCUGAUUAGCUAGUUGGUGGGGUAAAGGCCCACCAAGGCGACGAUCAGUAGCUGGUCUGAGAGGACGACCAGCCACACUGGAACUGAGACACGGUCCAGACUCCUACGGGAGGCAGCAGUGGGGAAUUUUGGACAAUGGGCGCAAGCCUGAUCCAGCCAUUCCGCGUGAGUGAAGAAGGCCUUCGGGUUGUAAAGCUCUUUCGCAAGGGAAGAAAACUUACCCUCUAACAUAGGGUGAGGUUGACGGUACCUUGAUAAGAAGCACCGGCUAACUACGUGCCAGCCGCCGCAGUAAGAC